UUAUAACGAAUGGUAAAACAGAAACAUAUUCUGUCUAUAUGAAUCUUCGUGUUCAAGCCCAGUGAUGCCAAUGCAAAACUUAUAGUUGCUCGUUUUUAUUGUAACCUAAAAAUAAAUCUUCCAAAUUAUUCAACUUUAUUAGAGAUAAUUUUCAAAUAAACAUUUAUUUGUCGAGAUACUUCAGAUUACUGCAUUCAAUGGCCAGAUUUCGGGGCUGGAGAAACUUUUCGUCAGGCUACACAAGGACAAAUCAGACCAGACAAACGGAUCUAGAAAAAUUAUAUUUGUAUCAGCGUAGAUUUUGUUACAAUCAAACAAUUAUUUAGUAAAGAAAUAUAAUUUAUUAUGUCAUUCAA